AUGAACGCUAGCGGCGUGCCUAAUACAUGCCAGUCGAGCGAACAGACGAGGAGCUUGCUCCUUUGACGUUAGCGGCGGACGGGUGAGUAACACGUGGAUAACCUACCUAUAAGACUGUGAUAACUUCGGGAAACCGGAGCUAAUACCGGAUAACAUGUUGAACCGCAUGGUUCAACAGUGAAAGACGGUCUUGCUGUCACUUAUAGAUGGAUCCGCGCCGCAUUAGCUAGUUGGUAAGGUAACGGCCUACCAAGGCAACGAUGCGUAGCCGACCUGAGAGGGUGAUCGGCCACACUGGAACUGAGACACGGUCCAGACUCCUACGGGAGGCAGCAGUAGGGAAUCUUCCGCAAUGGGCGAAAGCCUGACGGAGCAACGCCGCGUGAGUGAAGAAGGUCUUCGGAUCGUAAAACUCUGUUAUUAGGGAAGAACAAAUGUGUAAGUAACUAUGCACGUCUUGACGGUACCUAAUCAGAAAGCCACGGCUAACUACGUG
rnacentral:rRNA from 1 species